ACUGUACUACUGAUAUCACUGAUUGUCUCUUCUGGGUGUUCAACCACCAAAGCGCAGAGACCAACACUAAAAGGCAACUGGGUUAAGAAGACCGCCAAUAUUUUGGCCCUGGCCCUCCAAGGUCAUCAGAGAUUCAAGGCCCCCGCCCUGUGCUUUGGUGACCUGACACUUGUCUGUACACAGCCGCCUCCUGGACUGGAAGACACACACCGUGACACAUCCACAGGCUGCACAGAUGAGUGCAGACCCGGCCACAGGGUUUCUGCAGUGGUUCCCUGGCUACACAAACGCAAUGCUCCAAAAGCUGGACGGCAGCGAAUUGCAUUUUAGGAUUUAGGAACACACUACACGUGCAGUGGACCGCGUGGUUGUCAGAGAGUUUCAGUAUUCGUGCUUCCAAGAGCUUGCAGGGCUGGGGCAAGGCUCCUCAAAAGACUGCACACGCUGUGCAUCAGGUGUAAUGCAGGACACAGAAACCCAGGAGCCUGGCGCACAACAGCUGUCCAGAGUGAAAUGCAAGUGUGAGCAACGGAGAUCGGAAGGGUCCAGUCCAAGGUGUGAAGCCCGCAGCGAUGUCCUGUGACGGGUCUGCAUGAGGAGGCGGAAGGGUCUGGGACAGAAGACGGAGGGGCCUGGCCUGGAGGUUGAAGGGUCAGCUCUCUGGAAGCUAAAGGCUAGUGCUGCACCAAAGACUGCACCAAAAGCCAGGGGACAAAGUCAAGGAAAGAACCAGAGCAAGAACCAAAGAGAACAGCCAAAGCGCCUACAAGGGAAAGCAGCUGAAAUCCUGCCCUCAGUGUCCUUUUACAUCAUUCCAAGAACAGUGCUCCUUAAAGUGAGUCUUCCUGCCCAGAACCAUGCGGACCCAAUUCAGCCAUCCAUUCCCACCUCACGCUGACAAUUAAUCAAUUAACCACCACAUUUGUUUUUUGAGACAAGGUCUCACUAUGUAGUUCAGGGUGGCCUUGAACUUACUAUGUAGGCCGUUC